rnacentral:lncRNA from 1 species
CUCAUAGUUCCCUGGGACUCUUUCCUGAAACAGUUCUUCCCUGGAAAGUAUUUGAAACAAACUUACACUAAUAUUCCUCUGUGCCUGUGAGGACAGUGGUGGCCUUGCUGAUUGCUGAGAUGACUGGGGAGUGUGGUUCCUAUUUUCCCAGAUUCAGCUUCUUUGUACUGGUGCUAAUCUCUUUAGAAACCACCCAUCCAUGGCCACACCCUGACAUUCUUUUGUGCUCCUUUCCUGGCCAGGCUACACAUUUUUCAAGUCUUCUUUGCUCCUUUUUGCUCUUGAUUCUCAAUGUAAAUUUGGCUAAAAGCAGCCAAUAACAUCCACGGUAUAAAUGCUUUGCUAUUUUGAAAUCUUCUGUAUCAAAUAAAUUAGCCUACCACAUUUAAAGUCAUCACUUCACAAAGUAAUAUAUUAAAAUUAUUUGCCGUGGUGUGACUAAAGGGUGGCCUUUUCUCCAGUUCCCAAUAAGAUCCUCAUUUCCAUGAGAGACCUCAUCAACAUGGCUUUUACUGUCCACAUUCCUAUCAGCAUUUUGGUCUUCUGAGCCCUCACUAGAAUCACCCACAGUGCUUACAGCAUUCUAGGCUUUCUAUAGUUUACUCCUCCAAACUUUUCCAUCCUUUUUCUGUUAAACAAUUAAAAGGCUCCCCCCCCCCCCCACAUCUUCAGGUAUAGCUAUCGUGAUGAUCAAUCUCACUUCUGACACCAGUUUUCUAUAUUGGUCAAUUCAUGUUACUACAACAAAAUAUUAGAGGCAACUAACUUAACUUAGAAAAGGUUUAUUUAUGUCAUGUGUAUUCUACAAAUACAGUGUUUUCCUGUUUCCUAGUUUGUUCCCA